UGCAGUCGAGCGGGCNCUUCGGUGUCAGCGGCAGACGGGUGAGUAACACGUGGGAACGUGCCCUUCGGUUCGGAAUAACUCAGGGAAACUUGAGCUAAUACCGGAUACGCCCUUUUGGGGAAAGGUUUACUGCCGAAGGAUCGGCCCGCGUCUGAUUAGCUUGUUGGUGGGGUAACGGCCUACCAAGGCGACGAUCAGUAGUUGGUCUGAGAGGAUGAUCAGCCACACUGGGACUGAGACACGGCCCAGACUCCUACGGGAGGCAGCAGUGGGGAAUAUUGGACAAUGGGCGCAAGCCUGAUCCAGCCAUGCCGCGUGAGUGAUGAAGGCCUUAGGGUUGUAAAGCUCUUUUGUCCGGGACGAUAAUGACGGUACCGGAAGAAUAAGCCCCGGCUAACUUCGUGCCAGCAGCCGCGGUAAUACGAAGGGGGCUAGCGUUGCUCGGAAUCACUGGGCGUAAAGGGCGCGUANGCGGCUUUUUAAGUCGGGGGUGGAAGCCUGUGGCUCAACCACAGAAUUGCCUUCGAUACUGGAAAGCUUGAGACCGGAAGAGGACAGCGGAACUGCGAGUGUGGAGGUGAAAUUCGUAGAUAUUCGCAAGAACNCCNGUGGCGANGGNGGCUGUCUGGUCNGGUUCUGACGCUGANGNGCGAAAGNNUGGGGAGCAAACNGNAUUAGAUACCCUGGUAGUCCACGCCNUAAAC
rnacentral:rRNA from 1 species